CGCGAUUCGCCUGUGCCAGCAGCCGCGGUAAUUCCAGCUCCAAUAGCGUAUAUUAAAGUUGUUGCGGUUAAAAAGCUCGUAGUUGGAUCUCGGCGAACAGGGGGCGGUUCGUUAUUUGACGGUACUGCCCCAUUUGUUCGUAUUUUUGCAAGAGGGUUGGGGGUCCCCUUCAUUGGGUGUCUCCGGUCGCUUGCAGGUUUACUUUGAAAAAAUUAGAGUGCUCAAAGCAGGCUUACACGCUUGAAUAUUCGUGCAUGGAAUAAUAGAAUAGGAAGUCGUUUCUAUUUUGUUGGUUUUCGGAAAAUGACUUAAUGAUUAAUAGGGACAAUCGGGGGCAUUAGUAUUCAAACGACAGAGGUGAAAUUCUUGGACCGUUUGAAGACUAACUACUGCGAAAGCAUUUGCCAAGAGUGUUUUCAUUAAUCAAGAACGAAAGUUAGAGGUUCGAAGGCGAUCAGAUACCGCCCUAGUUCUAACCAUAAACGAUGCCAGCUAGCGAUCUGCGGGUGUGUAAAAACAAGACCCCGCAGGGAGCUUCCGGGAAACCAAAGCUUGUGGGUUCCGGGGGAAGUAUGGUUGCAAAGCUGAAACUUAAAGGAAUUGACGGAAGGGCACCACCAGGAGUGGAGCCUGCGGCUUAAUUUGACUCAACACGGGAAAUCUCACCAGGCCCGGACACCGGAAGGAUUGACAGAUUGAGAGCUCUUUCUCGAUUCGGUGGGUGGUGGUGCAUGGCCGUUCUUAGUUGGUGGAGUGAUUUGUCUGGUUAAUUCCGAUAACGAACGAGACUCUGUCCUGCUAAAUAGUAAGCUGAUUACUUUGUCAGCUUGUCUUCUUAGAGGGACUGGCGGAUUUAAACCGCACGAGAUUGAGCAAUAACAGGUCUGUGAUGC
rnacentral:rRNA from 1 species